CGCGAACAUACAGUAGAUGUAGAGGAUACACAGUAGAUAUAGAGGAUACGCAGAGAUGUAGAGGAGGGUACAAGGGUAGAUGUAGAGGAGUACACCAUAGAUGUAGAGAGUACACGAGAGAUGUAGAGGAGAUACACAGUAGAUGUUAGGAGAUACACGCAGUAGAUGUAGAGGAUACACAG
rnacentral:lncRNA from 14 species